CCGAGUUUACAACUCCCAAACCCCUGUGAACAUACCCUAUCGUUGCCUCGGCGGGAUCAGCCCUCCCGUUGAAGCAAGCUGGACCAGGCGCCCGCCAGGAGGACCCCUAAACUCUGUUUCUAUAUGUAUCUUCUGAGUAAACCAGAAAUAAAUCA
rnacentral:misc_RNA from 1 species